rnacentral:rRNA from 1 species
CACGUAGGGGGCAAGCGUUGUCCGGAUUUAUUGGGCGUAAAGAGCUCGUAGGCGGUUCGGUAAGUCGGGUGUGAAACCUCCAGGCUCAACCUGGAGACGCCACCCGAUACUGCUGUGACUAGAGUCCGGUAGGGGAGCGUGGAAUUCCUGGUGUAGCGGUGAAAUGCGCAGAUAUCAGGAAGAACACCCGUGGCGAAGGCGGCUCUCUGGGACGGUACUGACGCUGAGACGCGAAAGCGUGGGGAGCGAACAGG